UUUUCCAAGAUGGCCUUUUUAAUCUGUGAUUCUGUAAUACAUGUAUUUUUCUACUGAUGUUGUUUAGAUAUAAGUAAUAUAUCAGUAAGUCUAUAAUGUAUCUCUAGCAAAGAGGGAAACAAAUGUGUGAUAUCGCGAUUUUUUCUUUUCUGUUUCAGUACAAUUUUUAAGUUAAAUAUACAUAUCUCUGCAAUAAACCAUAUUCCAAAAUCCAACACAUUACUCGUGUGUGUGUUCUUCCACGACACUUUAUAUCUUUGUAUUCAGUUCUUAAUGCUUUUGAAUUGCGCCUGACAUGGCUAACUCUAUGGUGGAGUGAAAAUGGAAAUUCUAUGCGCAAAGUAUUUAUAAUACUGUUGUUGGUAUACUUGUAACGGAUAUAAUCUUAUCCGUUCAUUUAGUUCUAGUGAGUACAAAGGGCUCAAUGUAGGCAUCUUUAGGUGGGUAACACUCUGUAUGCCAUCUGUAUGCCAUGUGUUGUCAUUUUAAAAAUCGAUUGUUUAUCUUGGCAAUAUUUAGGAUCAGUUAGAAUAUUUGUCACGUGUGUAUAAAAACUAAGUACCCAAGUUAAAUCUUAGAUCAACUCUGGAAGCCACAUUUAUGAUUCAGUAUUGAUGAAAAAUGUUUAGAAUUUGUAUCCUGACAAUAUCUAAGCAAGAUACGAAUAUGGGUAACGUUCAUCCAAAUAUCUGUGACUGUGAGUCUAGGUCGUGUUUCAUCUAGAGUUAUGAAUCACAGUUUCUUUCUUCCUCUCUUUAAAACAGUGAAAAAGUGUUCAUUAUUGUCCUGAGACUGUUUUCUGUACUUUUUUAUCUAUCUUUACUAGUUAACUGCUGUAUUUCAUUUAACUUAAGAAAAGGCAAACAACAAAAAUGCGAUAUAUAAUAUACAGUAUUUGUAAACAUUAAUCAGCAUAGAAACGUUGUCUUUCUAAUGUGUUCUUCCAGGAAGGCGUUGGAAAGCUGUUUGUGUAUGGUCUAUUUAUCUCGCAAUAUUUUCUUUAAUAUCAUUAGACAGUUUUCGUAAGCAUGCAUCGAAACUUUGUUUGAGAAUUGUCGUCCUCCAAACAGACCUUGGAAAUCCGUGUGUUCAGGGACUUUUAUCUCCCAAAAUUUUUAACAAAUUCGCAUUAGUGACAGUCUUCAUUUUAGGGUCUUUUUAUCUCCCAAAAUGUUUUACAAAUUCGCAUUACGGUCAGUCUUCAUUUUAUGGUCUUUUUAUCUCCCAAAAUGUUGUACAAAUUCGCAUUACGGACAGUCUUCAUUUUAUGGUAAUUGUAUCUCCUAAAAUGUUUUAAAAUUUUGCAUUACGGACGUCUUCAUUUUAAGGUCUUUUUAUCUCCCAAAAUGUUUUACAAAUUCGAAUUACGGACAGUCUACAUUUGAUGAUAUUUUUUUUAACCUUUAAAAUCCGUAUUCAGUGCUCAGAUAUAUCAUCCAUAAUAUAAAUAUCAGUAUGCAUAUCAUUAUACACAAAAGCUCUAAGAAAAAGUCAUCCCUAGCCUUGCAAAUCCGAUCCCUUGGUCCCCAAAUCAUUUUUAGCAUUGCGGAAAACAAUAGUUUAAUAUGAAGUUUAUUUUUGUUUAGUUUCAUUUAUUUAGGUUAUAAAUUUAUUUAUAAAUUAUUAUAAUUAGGAAACCUUUUUAUACAAUACAUCCUAGUUUUUUUUAUCAAACUUGUAUUCCGCUCAUGUGCUUCCACGAUGGACUUGUGAAUUCCUUAAAUAUUCGUGAACUGCAAACGACUUAAAAACCUGCGAUUGACUAAAUUUGGAUUUUUUGUUUGUAUGUAUUUUCAACUACUGAUAUUGUAUUGCUAUUGUUACAAUUUCCCACAUCAACAUUGGAAAUGUACACCUUAUGUUGUUAAAUUAUUUAUCACAUAUUUAUUUUAAUAUUAAUAUUAAUUUAUUAACAUAACGAACGUUUUAACGUCAAAGUCAUUAUUAUCUUGUUGGAAUACUUUGAUCUUUUUUCGAGGAAAAAUGAAUGCUCACUUGUUCGUUUCAGAAAAUCGCACAUAGUCGUACAAAUAACAUUCCAUGACAUUUCCGUCAGCAGAUAAGUAGCACUUGGCAAUCUACCAGGAAUCAGAGGUCUGGUCACAUAACGGUACAAUAUUGAAAUUUGACUAAAAUACAAUAUACUAGAAGUAUUGAUCUGAAUGUAGAAACACAAUUCUGGUUUCCCAUUAUCCGCCUUUCUAUUCAGUGUUGCUUUUUUCAUAAUAUAGUACAGUAUAAUACAAUAUAAUGAUAUUGAAUAACGCAUCAUGAUUUGUCCGCCUGCAGAUAAGUAACACUUUGCUAUCUCCCAAUAGUCUGUAAUGCGGUCACGUAUCAGUAAAUAACAUAAGAGGUCGUUUCUUGUUGUUGGUUUUGGUUUUGUUGUUGUUUUUGUUGUUUUGCUAAUGCUCCGUGUAUAUUUUUAUAUUUAUUUAAACAAAUGGAAAAAAUAAAACGCACCGAAGUAUUCAUGCCAUAAGAACCUUUCGGAUUCGUUUUUUCACAAUAAAACGGAUGUUUCUUGAUGUGUUUUUAUACAAAUCGAACCAAUAAAUCGAGUAAAUGUAUUUGUAUAUUAAUUGUUGGUUUCAUUAUUUGGGGAAAGAAUACUUUACUAUUGAACAUCGAUGUGAUUGUCACGUCUGAAUAUUCUCAUUCAUAUUCUAUGUUUCGUAGCGCAAUAUGCAAGUGGCGUUCGUAUUGUGUUUCUUACGAACGAGUCUAAAACAUGACGAAUCAAACCAUGAGGAAACAUUUUUACUCCAAAAUUCCUUGUUUGGAUUCAUGUACUAAGAGACCGUGCACUUAUGAUCAUUAUGGUGGUAUAUUUAUCCUUGCUAUGAUCAAGUGGAUGUAUGCCCAGGUCUGAUAUCUCCGGUACACAUGUUCAAGAAACAAUCUCGCUGCACACCUUCAGGCUUGUGAAAAUCGCUGCCUUUAUGAUUCUGUGAUCCCACUACUCUAUUAGCAAAUUAAUUUAUAAAAAAAUACAUCAUAUAUAUUAUUUUGUUAGUCUAAUUUUAUGAUUCCCAUUUUCAGUCAUCCUGUUUAAAGGAAAUAUGCAUUUUUUUAUGUACCGUAACAAUGCAAACAGUUUCAUGAAAAUAGGAAACUAUUGUCAAUUAAUACAGCAUAAUGCCCUGAAUGACCUUAAUUUACGGGGUUUUUUUUGUGUCCUAUAUAACAUAGAAUAAUAAAAUAUAAAAUAAUAUAAUAUAAUACAAUAUAAAUUAUAUUAUACAAUACAAUAUGGUAUGAUACUAUGUUAUAUAACCCACCAUGAUAUGUCCGCCUGCAGAUAAGUAGCAUUUUGCCAACUGCCAAGAGUCUGAGAUCUGGUCACAUUUCUUUAUAAAACAUUAAAUUGGUAGUUUGUUGUUGUAGUUCUUUGCCAACAUGUACACAUAAACAAGACACAAUCCCUCUUUACACUUUCGGAUUUAUUGUAAAAGGUGUUUUAAUAUAAUUAUGUGAUCCCACCCUAUAUGUAACUUAAUUUAAAAUAUAAUAUAAAAUAAUGUAAAAUAUUAUAAUGGUAUAUUGAAUAACGCAUCAUGAUAUGUCCGUCUGAAGUCAAGUAACACGUUGCUAUCUCCGAAUAUUCUAAUAUCUGGUGUUGUGUUGAGCAAUACUCCGUAUCUAUUUUCAUAUUGAUUGAAACUUUGCCAAAAUAAAACGUACUUAAUAUUCAUUGGCAAGAAUGUCGACGCUUCUGUUUCGUUUUCAACACUCAAAUCGUGUUUUUUUCUUAUUUGUUUUUAUACAAAUAGAACUUAAAAAUUAAAUGUAUUUCUGUAUUGAUGGUUUCAUUCUUUACCUUUCAUUUUCCCAUUAAUGUGAUUGCCAAUAUUUCUAUAUAUAACGAUUCCCAUUCUAGUUUUUUAGCGAUAUACUCGUAGACUUUUCUUCUGACAGAAAGCAUGUUGUUUUUAAUGAACGAAAAUGUAACAUAAUCAAACAAAUAUAACACAUUCUUAUGAAAUAAGACUGUGAGCUUUAACCCAAGAUUCGAUUCUUGCUGUAUUUUGUUUUGGUUGGUCAAUCGCUACUUAACAUUUACAUUAUUCCUCCAUGACGGAUUUGAAAAUGUAUACAAAGCAUACGCUUUUUUGAUAGGCUGUUUGCCCAAGCGAAUCGGUCCAGGACUAUUGGCACGUGUGUCUCGAGAUACAAGUUUUGUUUCUGUGAUUUCUAUGUCCUUUUAAAAAGUUUCUGAAUCUGUGUAUAAAGCAAUGAGAACUUAUUUAUUUUACGUACACUCUCGGCUUAUGUGUUUUUCCAAGAUGGCCCGUUAAAUCUGUGAAUUUGUAUUACAUUAUUUUUUCGACUAAUGUUGUUUAGCUAUAAGUAACAUAUUAGUCUAUAAAUUAUCUCUAGCAUUAAUGGAAACAGCUGUGUAAUAUUACGAGUUUGUCUCUUUUUUCCAUUUUUAAAGUUACAACACCAAUACUCUGCAAUAUACCAUAUUCUAGAAUGCAACACGUUAUUCGUGUUUGUUUUCUUCCACCACGGUGUUUUAUAUCUGUGUAUGCAGUUCUUCAUUGUUUUGGAAUUUCGCAUGAUUUGGCUAAAUCUAUGGUAGAGUGAAAAUGCAAAUACUAUGCGGAAAACAUUAAGAUUUUUUAAUGAGUUUUAGUAAUUUUUAUAUUAUCCGUUCAUUAUAGUUAAUGCGAGCACAAACUGCUCAAAGUAAAUAUAAAGAAGAAACCUCAGUGGUCAUUAAAGGCGUCCGGCGUCGAGCGUCGUGUUGUGUGCGAUGUCGAGCGUUAGCUCUGUAACACUCUGAAUGCUAUUUGUUUAUCCGAUUUUGAAAUAAAAACACUCGCUCAUAUUUUUUAUCUUGACGAUAUUUGAUAUCAGUUAGAAUCUUGGUCACGUAUGUACAAAAUAGGUUACCAAGUUAAAUUUGAUAAAGACCUUAUAACCACUCUAGGCGCCACAUGCAUGACUCUAAAUGGAUUGUUCUGAAUAUUUAUGUAGACAAUAUAUAAGCAAAUUAAGAAUUCCUGAAACUUGGGAAAUCUGCGGUAGACUGAAAUCGGCUUUAGUUUGGAGAGUGUUUUUUGUUUUCAGUGUUUUCAGUUUCCAGUGUUGACAUGGUGUUGUAAUUGUUACAAUUGUAUAUUUUACGCUUCACAAUUAUGGAACUACACCUUAAGUUUCUAAUAUAUAUAGGAAGAGAUUUAUUAAAAUAUUAUUCAUAAUAAAUAAACAUAAAAACAGCAUAAACGUUAAGUCAAAUGCAUUCAUGUUGCACUUCUUUGAAUCGUUUUGUUCGACAAAUAUAGGGUCACAUUUCCUAUUAAAACGUCAAAGCAUAACAUAUUACAUAACAUACCAUGACAUUACCGUCGGCAGAUAGGUAACAGAUAGGCAAUCUACCAGGAUUCGGUGUCUGGUCACAUUGCGUUGUAUCACAAGAAAUUGGUCUUCUUUAUUGUGUUGCAAUACCCGGUGUCUUUCUUUAAUAAUAUUUUAAUUUAACUAAUAUUCCAAAUACAACAAGUAUUAAUUUGAAUGUAGAUAGCAAGUUCUUGUUUCCAUCUAUCGAUGUUUGUUGUCAUUGUUGCUUGUUUUUCAUAAAGAAAAUUUUCAGUUAAAAUAUUAUUUAUUA